rnacentral:rRNA from 1 species
UACGGAGGGGGCUAGCGUUGUUCGGAAUUACUGGGCGUAAAGCGCGCGUAGGCGGCUUUGUAAGUUAGAGGUGAAAGCCCGGGGCUCAACCCCGGAACUGCCUUUAAGACUGCAUCGCUUGAAUCCAGGAGAGGUGAGUGGAAUUCCGAGUGUAGAGGUGAAAUUCGUAGAUAUUCGGAAGAACACCAGUGGCGAAGGCGGCUCACUGGACUGGUAUCGACGCUGAGGUGCGAAAGCGUGGGGAGCAAACAGG